UGUUAGCAGCAAUUACCUUUUCAGCUGCCUUAAACUUUAAGCAGAUGGAGUUGUAUCAUGCAAUACUUCUAUUUGCUGGCUUCUAUUUGCUGGCUUCCUGUCAACCUAAAGGUUCCUCACUUCCCUCCCAACUAAAGAAUUUGGUCCAGAUUGGCGCUGCCACAGUGGCGACCUUUGCAAUCAUUUGGUAUCCAUUUCUUCAAAUUCAUGAUUGGCUUUUACAGCAAGUCAUCGUCAGACUCUUUAUUCCUUUUCAGCGUGGAAUCUUUGAAGACUAUGUCGCCAAUUUUUGGUGCACGCUAAAUGUUGUGAUCAAAAUCAAACGACUAUUAAACCCAACCUCAAUCGCCUCGGGAACUAUCACCUAGGCCAUGCCCGUGCCUGAAAGAAAAAGUCAGGACGUUGAUUCGAACGGAUUCGAAUGCAACGAGCACUAAGUACGGUCACAUUAUUGGAGGAAUGACCGUGUGCUUGGUUCGUGAUUUGGAGUCACAAGUGAUAGCUGCAAGCUGAUAUCACUCGAACCACUGCACCAACCCGACUAAGCAUGAUCGAAAAAAGCUACAGCUCAUUAUGGCGUCAGUUUAGCUUUAAUGCUAAAUUUCGCAAACACGGUGAACUAGAUUGACAAUAAUAAAAAAUGAACUUUAUUCGUCACUUGCUGUGUUACUUAUUAUUAAGAAUCUCAAUUAUGCUAAACAAAUUUUGACACGCAAAAAAUGCUACAAUAGAAACGGAAACGGUUGCACUCACGGAUCGUGACUGGAACAUGUAUACCAAUCCCGCCAUAAGACCUAGAAGUUACUCUUCGGUUGCCACCAGGUGGCAUAUGAGUAGCAUAUUUCUAUGAAAUCUUUUGAUGGCUGUCUGCUGUCUGCUUAACUGGGCAUUGAUGGCAGGUUAAUUUUUAAAAAGUUUGUACUUCAAAUAUAGGAACUAUCUUGCUUUCGGCGGAUUAUUCUCAGUUGGAACUUCGAAUAUUGGCGCAUUUGAGUGAAGACGCAGGUCUUUGUUCUGUUCUUAGCCAACCCGAUGGCGAUGUUUUCCGCGGCAUUGUAUCAGUUUGGAAAAAGAAAAAGCAAGAAGAAGUCAGAGACGAUGAAAGGCAAAAAGCGAAACAAAUCUGCUACGGGAUUGUUUACGGCAUGGGAUGUAAAAGUUUAGCCGAACAGUUGGAAGUCGGGGAAGAAGAGGCUCAACUCUUUGUUAACACUUUCCACGCAACGUAUCCUAGUAUACAAAGCUUUAUAACAAACACAGUUAACCAGUGCCGCACGAAUGGAUUUGAUGAUGUUGAUGCCUAAUUUUCUUGACAGGUCAACCGAUGUGGAAAAAAAUUCAGGAGGAAAAUGAAUUGAGCUGCUGACAUUGGCCUAUUCUGGAAUACAUUAGUUUGCAUCAUAAUCAGAAAGGACAAGAGAAGGAAAACGCUGGAACUGUGUGCUACAAUCAUGAUUCUUCUUAUAUUCUCCUCCGCUGGAAAACGAUACUUUAUUGUGUCAUGACCAAGAUGCUUAACAGGCGUCGGAAAAAAAAAAAGAGGUUUGUCUUCCAACAAAUGAAUACAGACUUACUUGACUCCCAAUUACAACUCGAAAGGUCAAGCGUUGGAAUGGGAUUGGCCCCCCAUUGCAAUGCAAGACUGAAUAGAGAGGUAAGAGCCCUCAGCUGAUGUCACGAUGUGGAUCAUAUAGUACAGCAAUAUGAUCUCCGUCCGGGCAGGUCUGGAGGUUACUCGAUAGCAAGUCAAUCAAGUGCUUAGCGCAACCCUUUUUUUUUUCUUUUUUUUUUCUUUUUUCAAGAACUAAAAUCCAAACUGGCUAACCAAAACUUCUAACAUCUAGUCCGAAUAUUUGAGCAUUUCCUUUUAAGGGAAUUUCAGAUUGAAAUUAGGAAAUUAACAUUAGUGAUGGAAAUGCAAACUAAAAAAUUUUACGCUACAUCCUGCUACGCAAUUAAAAACGGUAAAGAUAAGUGGAUUUCAACCUUGCCCAAUUCAAUGUUAAUUGGCAAAUGCAAUCAAUUGAAGCAAUGUUCUAUGCUACGAAACUAAAUAGCUAUAUAAAUUAUACCAGACUGAUGAAUACCAAUGAUGUAAAUCUCACUAAUGUUCUAGUGUAUAAAUGCGUUCAGCAAUUACAAUGUUGUAGGGAAACAAAUCGCUUUCAUUAGCUUUAUUUGAUACAAAAUAAAAAGAACGAGGGGAUUUGUUAACGGCA